rnacentral:lncRNA from 1 species
UCCUUGACACUACACUUACAUUUUUGGCUCCACGACUUAACCAUGAUUCUUUUAUUCUCCCAUUCUCCUUUAUUCAUUUUCAGAGUUAGUGUAGUUUUCUUCAUUCUUUCCACUUUUUAUGUCUUUUUCUAUUUUCUCCUUUUUUCUAUCUCUUUUAUUUUUUCAUUUUUUUUUCUUUUUCAUACUUUUAUACCACACCC